AGAGGGCAGGGUGGGAAGAGAGUGAUAGGAGGGAAGCAGAGGCCUGAGGAGGCAGCGGGGGAGCCUGGGACACUGCCCGGUGCCUAUCUGCUGGGACCUGUACUUCUCUGUUGUCAAUCACAAUCAGGCUAUUUCAAGGAACGAGCUAGUGCAUUUCUGUACUUAUCCCCCACGCCCAUGUUCACCUCAUGCAACCCGAGUUCGUUGUCCACAGAGGAAGGAAAGUGAAAGAAAACUUUGAGGAAAGAAGAUGGAGUGGGUAGAGGCUUCCCGCUGCCCUAACCUUCCCCAACACCCCCAGGCAAGGGCGAUGAAACGGGGUUGAACGUCCUGUACUGUCACGAAGAUGUAGAAGAUAGAUACAGGGGCUGGUUCAUGGCCUUCCUCCGGGUAGCUCUUGUCUUCACGACAAUCCAGACAAUACUCCAGAACGACCCCGGGGAGCAGGUGUGUCUCUGCUAAGAGAGGUGGACGGCAUCAGAGGCCUGUGAGCUCCAUUCGACACCUCAUGUGGACAGGACUGCUCCUCUGUUAUGGAACCGUCAAAAGAGAACUGAAGCUGUUAGCAAAGGCCAGCACACAAUUAAGGAUUAUCUCCAAUUGGCCACAUGGCUGUCCAUUUGGGAAAGAGAUCCUUGAAGCCCAGUAAAUCACCAGAUGAUGGUAUCCCUGGAUAUCUACUGAAACUUCCUGAGAAACUCUGAGCAAGAGGCACUGAGCCACUAAGCUCAGAGUCCUGACACUUAGAAGGAUCCCCUAAAGAUGCCUCCACCCACAAACAGCAGGAAGCAAUUUUAAGAACACAAUGCCCACAUUCCCAAGAGGUGAGGCAGGUGGUUUAUGGCCUUUUAAUGGGUUUGGGUUUGGGAUAACUGUCAUUGUUUAGGAUUGUUGGUUACAAGUUGUUAUUGUUAACAGUCAGGAAAGAGGCUAA